rnacentral:tRNA from 1 species
GGGUCGGUACCGAAGUGGCCAAACGGGUCUGGCUGUAAACCAGAUGUCUCUGACUUCGGGGGUUCGAAUCCCUCUCGGCCCACCA